rnacentral:rRNA from 1 species
GACGAACGCUGGCGGCGUGGAUUAGGCAUGCAAGUCGAACGGUAUCAUCCUUUCGGGGGUGAGAGAGUGGCGAACUGGUGAGUAACACGUAGGUUAUCUACCCUCAAGACGGGGACAACCCAGGGAAACUUGGGCUAAUACCGGAUGUGAGCAACUUUUAGUUGUUUGAAAGGUGGCGUAAGCUGUCGCUUGGGGAUGAGCCUGCGUCCUAUUAGUUAGUUGGUGAGGUAACGGCUCACCUAGGCAAUGAUAGGUAGGCGGCCUUAACGGGUGGUCGCCCACACUGGGAUUGAGAUACGGCCCAGACUCCUACGGGAGGCAGCAGUCGAGAAUAGUCUACAAUGGCCGAAAGGCUGAUAGUGCGACGCCGCGUGAACGAAGAAGCCCUUCGGGGUGUAAAGUUCUUUUAUAUGUGAGCAGUGCUUUCUAUGUGAACAGCAUGGGGAAGAGAUAUUAGCAUAUGAAUAAGCAACGGCUAACUCCGUGCCAGCAGCCGCGGUAAAACG